CCUGGCUCUGGACGAACGCUGGCGGCGCGCCUAACACAUGCAAGUCGAACGAGCGAGAGAGAGCUUGCUUUCUCGAGCGAGUGGCGAACGGGUGAGUAACGCGUGAGGAACCUGCCUCAAAGAGGGGGACAACAGUUGGAAACGACUGCUAAUACCGCAUAAGCCCACAGCUCGGCAUCGAGCAGAGGGAAAAGGAGCAAUCCGCUUUGAGAUGGCCUCGCGUCCGAUUAGCUAGUUGGUGAGGUAAUGGCCCACCAAGGCGACGAUCGGUAGCCGGACUGAGAGGUUGAACGGCCACAUUGGGACUGAGACACGGCCCAGACUCCUACGGGAGGCAGCAGUGGGGAAUAUUGCACAAUGGGGGAAACCCUGAUGCAGCGACGCCGCGUGGAGGAAGAAGGUCUUCGGAUUGUAAACUCCUGUUGUUGAGGAAGAUAAUGACGGUACUCAACAAGGAAGUGACGGCUAACUACGUGCCAGCAGCCGCGGUAAAACGUAGGUCACAAGCGUUGUCCGGAAUUACUGGGUGUAAAGGGAGCGCAGGCGGGAAGACAAGUUGGAAGUGAAAUCUAUGGGCUCAACCCAUAAACUGCUUUCACAACUGUUUUUCUUGAGUAGUGCAGAGGCAGGCGGAAUUCCCGGUGUAGCGGUGGAAUGCGUAGAUAUCGGGAGGAACACCAGUGGCGAAGGCGGCCUACUGGGCACCAACUGACGCUGAGGCUCGAAAGUGUGGGUAGCAAACAGGAUUAGAUACCCUGGCAGUCCACACCGUAAACGAUGAUUACUAGGUGUUGGAGGAUUGACCCCUUCAGUGCCGCAGUUAACACAAUAAGUAAUCCACCUGGGGAGUACGACCGCAAGGUUGAAACUCAAAGGAAUUGACGGGGGCCCGCACAAGCAGUGGAGUAUGUGGUUUAAUUCGACGCAACGCGAAGAACCUUACCAAGUCUUGACAUCCCUUGACGAACAUAGAAAUAUGUUUUCUCUUCGGAGCAAGGAGACAGGUGGUGCAUGGUUGUCGUCAGCUCGUGUCGUGAGAUGUUGGGUUAAGUCCCGCAACGAGCGCAACCCUUACUGUCAGUUACUACGCAAGAGGACUCUGGCAGGACUGCCGUUGACAAAACGGAGGAAGGUGGGGAUGACGUCAAAUCAUCAUGCCCUUUAUGACUUGGGCUACACACGUACUACAAUGGCGUUAAACAAAGAGAAGCAAGACCGCGAGGUGGAGCAAAACUCAGAAACAACGUCCCAGUUCGGACUGCAGGCUGCAACUCGCCUGCACGAAGUCGGAAUUGCUAGUAAUCGUGGAUCAGCAUGCCACGGUGAAUACGUUCCCGGGCCUGUACACACCGCCCGUCA
rnacentral:rRNA from 1 species